CUCUCUCUCUCUCUCUUUCUCUUCCAGACCACGACCAAAACUCUCACUUUUCUUUCUUUCUUCUCCAAGCAACUGCAGACUCUCUUCUCCAUUGAAACUUUACCAAUCUCACCCUUCGUUUUUCCAAAUCAGGUUACAUUGAAAAAAUUGGGUUGCUUUUAUGCCCAACAGCUGCUGCGUACAACGGAAGAAGAUGAUGGGUUGCAAAUUUUUAUGUCUUCAGAUGAUAUGGAAGAAGACUUACAAACAAAUCACUCGUCUAGUAUCACUGAAGUCCCUAUUGUUAAUGGCCCCUUUGUGAUUGAUGUUCCUGAUGAAUUCCUCUCAUUAUCGAUGAAAUUUUUUGAAAAUUGAGAAGACCUUGUUAGUGCUAUUCGUAAGAUUGGGUUGCUGCAAGGGUAUAUGUUAUGGUAAUCAAAAGAUCUAAAAGCAAUAGAUAUGUGGCUAUUGGUUGUGAUAGAGGUGGUUGUUAUCAACCUACUCUACACUUGGGGAGAAGAAAAAGCAUUCAGCUUCUCGUCAGAUAGAUUGCCCUUUCAAAAUUUUGGGAACAAGGACUUCCACUGACAUGGCUGGACAUCCAUAUUGUCAUCGGUUUACUAAAGAGGAAGCCUUACAAGUUGAACAAAUGAGUAGGGCUUGCAUAAAACCACGUCAAAUUCUCUCUUCGCUUAGACAAAGCAAUCCUGAUCUUUUAGCUGUUUUCAGAAAUAUAUAUAGCAAGACAGCUCAGUUUAGGAGGGAGAGUCUAGGUGGGCGUUCAAUUAUUCAAGCAUUAUUAGAUGAGCUUGGUGCUGCUGGUUUUUCUCAUAAUGUCAAAUAUGAUCACUCUAGUCAUUUGACUCAUCUAUUCUUUGCUCAUCCCACUUCCAUUGAGUUGACUAAAAGCUACUGUAAUGUCUUUGUGAUGGAUUGUACUUAUAAGACAAAUAAUUAAGUACAAGAUGCCAUUACUUGAGAUCGUAGGAGUGUCGAGCUUCAACAGAUCAUUCUAUUCGUGUUUUGUUUUCAUGCAAAAAGAGGAACAACAAGAUUAUCAUUGGGCUCUUGAAAUGUUCAGUAAGUUGUUGGGAGAUGGUAAUCAUCCAUUGGCAAUUGUAACUGAUAGGGAGUUGGCAUUAAU